UUUCUCUCGCCAGGCGUCCUCGUGGAAGUGACAUCGUCUUUAAACCCUGCGUGGCAAUCCCUGACGCACCGCCGUGAUGCCCAGGGAAGACAGGGCGACCUGGAAGUCCAACUACUUCCUUAAGAUCAUCGUAAGUGCAGGCAACUAUUGGAUGAUUAUCCGAAAUGUUUCAUCGUGGGAGCAGACAAUGUGGGCUCCAAGCAGAUGCAGCAGAUCCGCAUGUCCCUUCGCGGGAAGGCCGUGGUGCUGAUGGGCAAGAACACCAUGAUGCGCAAGGCCAUCCGAGGGCACCUGGAAAACAACCCAGCUCUGGAGAAACUGCUGCCUCAUAUCCGGGGGAAUGUGGGCUUUGUGUUCACCAAGGAGGACCUCACUGAGAUCAGGGACAUGUUGCUGGCCAAUAAGGUAAGGGGACAAUUGGGUUGGCUAAAGAGACUUUGUAGUUGCUCCUUAAAGCAAAAUGGACCAUUCUCAGGUUGUAUGAGUGGAGAGGCUUUUCUCACUGGUUGUUGUCUUUGUCAGGUGCCAGCUGCUGCCCGUGCU
rnacentral:sRNA from 1 species